AACCACUUCCAAGUGAACCUUCACAAACAACACAGUAUUACGUCUAAAAGAUAGCAAGUAAAUCCGGAGUAUUUCAGUUUUGAGCUGAUGUUUUUUCCCUAGAGGCAAGGUCAAAGAUAGCAAAGUUUUACUUUUGAAACAAAGGCAGCAGUGUAAUUAUUAGCCGUCAUUAAAAUCAAUAUUGUCUCAUGAAAAUGCCUACCCUGUUGACCCACUAAUGGCAAUUACAAAAAUGUUUGGUUCAUCACGCCUAAUUCAAAUUAGCUUCAAUGCCUCAUGUUUACUUCCAUAGCCUGAACUGAUAAAUCACUGAAACCUCUUCUCUGCUAAACCUAUGUCUACUUCCUAAUCAACACCCGAGUAAUAACAUGGUAGAUCGUCAUACAUGUUUAUCUCCUGUUUUCUUGAUGUCUGAGUAACAGUAUAUGCAUGUGUACUCUACAGUUUAAACAAGCUCAAUGCCCUACUAUUCUGGUUGAUAGCUGACUGUUGAGUCAUUGGCACUAAGGUUGCUAAUAGAAAGGCGCACUUACAGAGAGUCCAUGAACAAGAUAGCAAGCAGAAAACAUAACAUAAAAUAGAGAUGCAAUUCCCCUUUGUACUAUGAUGUAUAUGCUUUUUUAGGGCAAACCAUAUAUCUUCAGAAAUUUGUACCUUAUCAGCUAUUUGAUUUGGUUACCGCAGUUCGGUCUUUUCCCUCUUGUGAGUUCUGCACCAUCCUGACAUGAUUCAUCAACAACCACCUAGAAACGAUCAGCAGAAAAACAAAAUCAAAGUGAAAUCAAUGGAAUCGCAUGUAGGUAGUAGCGAAGUACGAUAUGUGCCACUCCAUUGGCACUUUGCCUAUACACCAUGCAACAUCAAGUGAGGCAUGAGCAAUAAAGUGAUCAGAUACCAACAUCAUGUAUUAAGCACAAAUCAUGAAUCAAUACUAGAGGACCAAAUAGUGUCACCACCUCUGUACUAACAACCAGACAUUUUUUUAGAAGAACAGGGAGGCUCUAACAACCAACAUUUUAGCAUGUCAUCUGUUUACCAAGCAAAACCACAAUAGCUAAAUUUCCCAAGAGCAUACUUUCAGAGAAGCACAGUCCAGAUCAUACACCCACAAAAUAAACGGCUUGGUUUUCAACUGGCAUAAUGAUUUCCUCCCUGCCGCAAGCCUCUACCUACAACUUUAAACUGAACCAUCAAGUUAGCACGGCAUUUUUUUACAGAAGUAUUGCUAUGGCAGUCUAAUUUCCCAAGGGCAGGAGUCUAAUAUACUUUCAGAAUGUGCAGUUCAGAUCAUGCAGUUAGAAAUAAACUUUAUGGUAGUAACUCUACAUGACUUGCUAUUCAAUUAUCUUUUCUAGUACCCAUUUUGAACACCACACAAUGAUUAGCUCCUAUUAUGUAAGGUCACACUAUUUAAAUCGAGAAUUGCUCGCAUUUCAUGAUUUUUUUAGUUAUCCUAGUAGUGUUUACUUGCACAUCAGGAGUAUCACAGUUACAGCUAAAGAGGCAUUGUCCUAUCAUAAUUUAAAUAUCAGAAGCUAACAGCGGUAAUGUAAAUACAUAUGGUCGAGACAUAAUUUUGUAGCACAACAUGUCAGAGAGGCAAUAGAUUACAUUUGAAGGCACCCAUACAAGAUUAUUACAAGAGCAGACACAAGGAUCAGAACACCAAGUAACAAUUAGAAUCUGUAUUGCGAGCUCCCUUCCCCCAUUCUAUUUUUGCUUGACAUUCAAACAUAAAACAAAGUAAUUCUUUUUAAUUUCCAAAGCACAGGUGAAUAUGACAAUACAGCUUGUCGAACCAGUACAUUGACUCAUAGCUCUGUGUCUAACAUUCAACUCUAAAAUUAAGUAACUCUAUUUUGUUCUUUAAUGAAAACAAAAAGGACCUCAGAAAGCCCAAGUAGCACCAAAAAAAUAUAACACAGGAGAUAAAAAAAACACUGAAGCAUCAGAGUAGGGAGUAAUUAUCAAAUAGAAACAAAAGGAAAAGAAAAGCAAGAAUCUCCCUUCCCCCAUCUGUUUUUGUUUUCUUUCACUUAUAUACACCAGACCAAUAGACAAGCACUUUAACUAUAAAAAACAUAAUUCCUACUUCAAGAACACAAUUGAAUAUUGGAGCACCACACACUACUCUUCGUAAAGCCUGUUCAUGCUAACAGUAGUAGAUUCUUGUAAUCACACUUCAUGUUCUAUUUUCUAAAUAAAAUAAAUGAUCUCACUAUAGCAGAAAACAUACAUGCAUAUAGCUGACUGAAUUACCUCGCAAAGCUUCUGUUCUUGCAUUUCUACAUCGCCCUUGGUGCUGAAAAUAUAUAAAACAUCAGGCCAACGCUUAACAAGAUUUUGAUAUACUUCAGGUGAUAGGAACUAUCUACACAAAUAUAGGAUUAUGCAUAUGGAUAGUUAGCAUGCAGCAGUCAGUUUCACAGGAAGUUGCCGAUGAGCAUCCUAUUGCUGCCCUUGUUCUCAUAUAUGGGAACGUACACAGAUCCAUCGAGCAGAACCAUCAGCUUGCUGUCAUUCAUUCCUUGAGACCCACAGCAACAUAAUUUGGCACACAUAUUGGGAUUACUAACAAGCUGACCUCCAGAUCCUUUCUGGAUACACCAAUACUCAGAUUUUUUUUCUUAAAAGAAAAGAAUGAAAACUAAGAUAUCUUAGUGGGAACUACUAAUAUGAGAAGUUAUCUGAUACACAACACAAUGACCACUCGAUAUAGGAUAAAUUGUUCCAUUGGGAGUAUCUUCUAGAUUUUUUACUUUCUUUUGAUCCAAAGUAGGCGCUGGGACAAAGUAAAUCUUUAAACACUUUUGUAGUAGAUUCAAAACAAUAAGAAGUCAUUUAACUGGCAGAACAUAGCAUUAUGAAAAUAUAUAGCAAAGUCAUUUUUGUGUAUGCUAGUUGCAACAUCGACACAACACAUAUUCUAGCAAACAGACCUAUGUUCGACACAUUCUACCACAAAGUGCCUGUCCAAAGAUCCUAUAUUUUGGUACAGAGGUUGUACGUCACAAACCAUCUAUCCUAUCAUCAGUGUAUGCAGUAUGCAGUACACCAUUUUCCAUAGCUGGAAAGAGACCAUGCAUCAUAAUCUGGUCACAAUAUGUUGACAGAAGUGGUUAUCUGGACAAAAUAGGGAGGCACACCUUCACAAAACAGUUCUUAGUAAUUAUAGAAUGCCCUCUAUUAACUGAAGUAAAAUCAAGCAUGUAUGUGUGCUCACUGAAAUGUAUAUGCACCAUUGCCGAUUGAAACAAGAUACACACAGCCGAUUGAUAACCGACAGUUGAAUUAUUGGCG
rnacentral:lncRNA from 1 species